UACGGAAGGCAGCAGUGGGGAAUAUUGCACAAUGGGCGCAAGCCUGAUGCAGCCAUGCCGCGUGUAUGAAGAAGGCCUUCGGGUUGUAAAGUACUUUCAGUCGUGAGGAAGGUGUUAAGGUUAAUAACCUUAGCAAUUGACGUUAGCGACAGAAGAAGCACCGGCUAACUCCGUGCCAGCAGCCGCGGUAAUACGGAGGGUGCGAGCGUUAAUCGGAAUUACUGGGCGUAAAGGGCACGCAGGCGGUUAAUUAAGUUGGAUGUGAAAUCCCCGGGCUUAACCUGGGAAUGGCAUUCAAGACUGGUUAGCUAGAGUCUUGUAGAGGGGGUAGAAAUUCCAUGUGUAGCGGUGAAAUGCGUAGAGAUGUGGAGGAAUACCGGUGGCGAAGGCGGCCCCUGGACAAAGACUGACGCUCAUGUGCGAAAGCGUGGGGAGCAAAC
rnacentral:rRNA from 1 species